GUGAGGAAUAUUGGUCAAUGGUCGCAAGACUGAACCAGCCAUGCCGCGUGCAGGAAGACGGUCCUAUGGAUUGUAAACUGCUUUUAUACAGGAAGAAACCCUCCCACGUGUGGGAGCUUGACGGUACUGUAGGAAUAAGGAUCGGCUAACUCCGUGCCAGCAGCCGCGGUAAUACGGAGGAUCCAAGCGUUAUCCGGAAUCAUUGGGUUUAAAGGGUCCGUAGGCGGUCUUAUAAGUCAGUGGUGAAAGCCCAUCGCUCAACGAUGGAACUGCCAUUGAUACUGUAGGACUUGAAUGCUUAGGAAGUAACUAGAAUAUGUAGUGUAGCGGUGAAAUGCUUAGAUAUUACAUGGAAUACCAAUUGCGAAGGCAGGUUACUACUAAGUGAUUGACGCUGAUGGACGAAAGCGUGGGGAGCGAACAGGAUUAGAAACCCCUGUAGUCC
rnacentral:rRNA from 1 species